AUUUAAUUGUGUAAAGCUGAAAUGGGUAAGCCCAAAUAUUUGAUCCUGUUACUUUCCAAAACACCGUGAAAUCUGUACGUGGGUGGCAUGGUUGUACUCAUUACAUCAUCCAAAUAUGUGUAUUGUAUUGCAAAAAAAGCUAAUAUUAUUAUGACAUUCACAGUUAAAAUACCACGCAGAACUUGAAAAAAAACACAAUUUAUUAAUUUCUCACACUUUUCUACAUUUUAUUCAUAUUAAAUUAUGUUUCAUAUAUAAAUAUGUGAAAAGCAAGCUCUGUUUCUCCUGAACAAAAUG